UCCUGCUGGUUCUGUGGUGUUGAACUUUUAAGUUACUAAAAUAGAAAUGUACAGUAUAUAAAAUAAAUGGGUGUAUCUAUAAUAAAAACUUGCCUAAAUAGCCGCCUUUUCCUAAAAUUGUUAGGCUGCUGUGGCUGCUGCUAGACAGAUCUCUGUCUCUGCUCCCCCCCCUCCCCUCUCUGUCCUUAAUUACAGGAGUGAAGUCUGGUGUGCGGGAGUCAGGGUUCCAGCUGCAGCCAAUCUACUCCAAUCACUUCUGCUACAUAUACCUGGUCAACCUACCACUCCUUGUCAGAUCAUAGUCUAGACCACAUUAUUGGAACCUGACUCCUGCCUCCACUUCACUCCUGCCACCCACCCACCUAUCCUGCUUGCCGUAACUGGACCUCUCAACGGACUCGACACCACCACUUGGACUACACGGUAUUAUUCUGGCUCUGAACCCUGGACCUGUACCCCUCUGUGGACCUGGACUUGUUAUCCCCUUUUGUUAAAACCUGGAACUUUGAACUUUUGGAAUAAACCUGUUAACUCCGGCUCUGCUUUGUGUCUGCAUUUGGGUUCUAUUCAGUCAAAAACGUAACAAAAAUACUGUUGUGUUCUGUUUUUGGCAAAUCCGAUGCUGCCUGUUAUUGUGCGUCAAUUGUCACUUUCAGUGGGUUUCUUUCCCCUUGAGAGUGCCUUUUAUGGCUUGACAAACUUCUAAACUGAAUAAAAUAUUUAAAGCAA